rnacentral:rRNA from 1 species
AGGAUUAACGCUGGCGGCGUGCCUGACACAUGCAAGUCGAACGAGGCCGCAAGGCCGAGUGGCGGACGGGUGAGUAACACGUGACCAACCAACCUCGAAGUUGGGAAUAGCUCUGCGAAAGUAGGGGUAAUACCGAAUGUGGCCCAGGGCGGGCAUCCGCCUUGGUCUAAAGAUUCAUCGCCUCGAGACGGGGUCGCGGCCUAUUAGCUUGUUGGUGAGGUAACGGCUCACCAAGGCGAUGAUGGGUAGCUGGUCUGAGAGGACGACCAGCCACACUGGGACUGAGACACGGCCCAGACUCCUACGGGAGGCAGCAGUGAGGAAUCUUCCGCAAUGGGCGAAAGCCUGACGGAGCAACGCCGCGUGUGGGAUGAAGACUCUAGGGUUGUAAACCACUGUCGGAGGGGACGAUCGUGACGGUACCCUCCAAGAAGCCCCGGCUAACUACGCGCCAGCAGCCGC